rnacentral:rRNA from 1 species
CUUUAUCGGAGAGUUUGAUCCUGGCUCAGGACGAACGCUGGCGGCGUGCCUAAUACAUGCAAGUCGAGCGGACAGAUGGGAGCUUGCUCCCUGAUGUUAGCGGCGGACGGGUGAGUAACACGUGGGUAACCUGCCUGUAAGACUGGGAUAACUCCGGGAAACCGGGGCUAAUACCGGAUGGUUGUUUGAACCGCAUGGUUCAGACAUAAAAGGUGGCUUUGGCUACCACUUACA